ACUUCUGUAGGACAACAGCUCAUCCGUUGGUCUUAGGAACCAAAAACUCUUGGUGCAAAUCCAAGUAGAAGCU
rnacentral:tRNA from 1 species